CGACUGCGGUAUUAUCGCUCCCAGAAGCGAACUUACGAAUCCUACUAUGGAAAUGGUGUGGUCGUUAAUAUUCAGGAGGCAGUCGUUUGGCAUUGGAAGGUCGCAAGAAACGUCACGAUAAGCUAAUUAAUAUGCAUGAGCCAAUUCUUGCUUGGUCAUGUCAGCCGUGCACCAUGGACAUCAAGAAUAGGAACUUUAGUCAAUUACUUGUCUUCUUGUUUGUGGAUGCUUGCCGACAUUUCUCUGGGAAAAGCUCUUUUGAAAGUGGAUUAGAGUAAGUCUCACGUCCUCCUUCUUAAGUGGAAGAAAAAACAACUGCCUGAUCUACUUUCUCAAGGGUCCAGCUCAGUUCCAAAUCUUCAAGAAGCUGUCCCAUGAGCCAGUGCAAACGCACAUGCCAUCUGGCGGUACUCCGGUGCAGCUCACCCUGUUGUCAUGGCCAGACAACACACCUACAAAAGAGAACGGA